GACGAACGCUGGCGGCGUGCUUAACACAUGCAAGUCGAACGGAAAGGCCCUGCUUGUGUGGGGUGCUCGAGGGGCGAAUGGGUGAGUAACACGUGAGUAACCUGCCCUUGACUGUGGGAUAACUUCAGGAAACUGGGGCUAAUACCGGAUAGGAGCUCCUGCUGCAUGGUGGGGGUUGGAAAGUUUCGGCGGUUGGGGAUGGACGCGCGGCUUAUCAGCUUGUUGGUGGGGUAGUGGCUUACCAAGGCUUUGACGGGUAGCCGGCCUGAGAGGGUGACCGGCCACAUUGGGACUGAGAUACGGCCCAGACUCCUACGGGAGGCAGCAGUGGGGAAUAUUGCACAAUGGGCGGAAGCCUGAUGCAGCAACGCCGCGUGCGGGAUGACGGCCUUCGGGUUGUAAACCGCUUUCGCCUGUGACGAAGCGUGAGUGACGGUAAUGGGUAAAGAAGCACCGGCUAACUACGUG
rnacentral:rRNA from 1 species